GUGCCAGCAGCCGCGGUAAUACGUAGGUGGCAAGCGUUAUCCGGAAUUAUUGGGCGUAAAGCGCGCGUAGGCGGUCUCUUAAGUCUGAUGUGAAAGCCCCCGGCUCAACCGGGGAGGGUCACUGGAAACUGGGAGACUUGAGUGCAGAAGAGGAGAGUGGAAUUCCAUGUGUAGCGGUGAAAUGCGCAGAGAUAUGGAGGAACACCAGUGGCGAAGGCGGCUCUCUGGUCUGUAGCUGACGCUGAGGUGCGAAAGCGUGGGUAGCAAUCAGGAUUAGAAACCCCUGUAGUCC
rnacentral:rRNA from 1 species